AUUAUGUUGACUUUAUAUUGCUGUGCAUUUGAAUAGCAUCACAGAAGAAAGACAAGAAAUCUAAAGACAAAUCAUAUAAAAUCUUUUUGCUAUGAAGGGGGGAAUGGAUCAAGAAAUGUCGCACUUCAAUAGCUACAGCUGCUUAGGUAUGAGAGAAUUCCCAAAUGCAGUACUGAGAAGAGAAAAAAAGGCAACUGGAGUGUAUGACACCAACAAAAAUAU